UACGGGGGGAGCAAGCGUUGUUCGGAUUUACUGGGCGUAAAGGGCGCGUAGGCGGCCACCGCAAGUCAGUUGUGAAAUCUCCGGGCUUAACUCGGAAAGGUCAACUGAUACUGCGGGGCUAGAGUGCGGAAGGGGCAACUGGAAUUCUCGGUGUAGCGGUGAAAUGCGUAGAUAUCGAGAGGAACACCUGCGGCGAAGGCGGGUUGCUGGGCCGACACUGACGCUGAGUGCGCGAAAGCCAGGGGAGCGAACGGG
rnacentral:rRNA from 1 species